UACGUAGGGUGCGAGCGUUAAUCGGAAUUACUGGGCGUAAAGCGCGCGUAGGCGGACCUGCAAGUCGGGGGUGAAAGCCCGAGGCUCAACCUCGGAACUGCCUUCGAUACUGCGGGUCUCGAGUCCGGGAGAGGUGAGUGGAAUUCCUAGUGUAGAGGUGAAAUUCGUAGAUAUUAGGAAGAGCACCAGUGGCGAAGGCGGCUCACUGGCCCGGUACUGACGCUGAGGCGCGAAAGCGUGGGGAGCAAACAGG
rnacentral:rRNA from 1 species